rnacentral:rRNA from 1 species
GUAAGGAAUAUUGGACAAUGGACGCAAGUCUGAUCCAGCCAUGCCGCGUGAAGGAUUAAGGUCCUCUGGAUUGUAAACUUCUUUUAUAAGGGACGAAAAAAGGCUUUUCUAAGUCGUCUGACGGUACCUUAUGAAUAAGCACCGGCUAACUCCGUGCCAGCAGCCGCGGUAAUACGGAGGGUGCAAGCGUUAUCUGGAUUCACUGGGUUUAAAGGGUGCGUAGGCGGGCAGGUAAGUCAGUGGUGAAAUCCUAGAGCUUAACUCUAGAACUGCCAUUGAUACUAUCUGUCUUGAAUAUUGUGGAGGUAAGCGGAAUAUGUCAUGUAGCGGUGAAAUGCUUAGAUAUGACAUAGAACACCUAUUGCGAAGGCAGCUUACUACGCAUAUAUUGACGCUGAGGCACGAAAGCGUGGGGAUCAAACAGGAUUAGAAACCCUAGUAGUCC